GAUGAACGCUGGCGGCGUGCUUAACACAUGCAAGUCGAACGGAAAGGCUCCUGCUUGCAGGGGUACUCGAGUGGCGAACGGGUGAGUAACACGUGGGUGAUCUGCCCUGCACUUCGGGAUAAGCCUGGGAAACUGGGUCUAAUACCGGAUCGGACGAUGGUUUGGAUGCCAUUGUGGUAAGUUUUUUCGGUGUGGGAUGAGCUCGCGGCCUAUCAGCUUGUUGGUGGGGUAAUGGCCUACCAAGGCGUCGACGGGUAGCCGGCCUGAGAGGGUGUACGGCCACAUUGGGACUGAGAUACGGCCCAGACUCCUACGGGAGGCAGCAGUGGGGAAUAUUGCGCAAUGGGCGCAAGCCUGAUGCAGCGACGCCGCGUGGGGGAUGACGGCCUUCGGGUUGUAAACUCCUUUCGCUAGGGACGAAGCGCAAGUGACGGUACCUGGAGAAGAAGCACCGGCUAACUACGUG
rnacentral:rRNA from 1 species